GCUAUACAGAACUCACUGAUAGCUUGAUCUUGUACCUUAAAUCACUCAAAGCUCUGUAGAGAGCACACUGAAAACUGGGUAUACCAUCUUAGGUUUUACCUGAUGCUGGAUGUCCUCAUGCUAAGCAAUCAGGUGACCAAAACUCGCCUAACCACCCUGAAGUGCCUAUAGUGGCUGUUUGCAAGACAGCCAUUAGGGGUAGAGAUAACCCUGCAGUGUAAUUAUUGCAGUUUAUCAAUAACUGUAAUAAUUGCAAUUGAACGCUUAAACGGUCAUAAAGUUUGAUUCCAACAGAGGUGUGCAAUCUGGCAAUAGCAAUCAAUCACUCCAG